GCUUCUUCGGUGAGAUCAAACACAACUUGUUCAGAAGCGCUUCAGCGGAGAAGCACUUUUUCUCACGCGCAUCGGCUCAAGCUUUCUCGGUUUCUCUUGUGCGACACACUCUCAAACUCAUGCUCUCUCCCUCUCAAUUCUUACGCAACAACAACAAUUACGACAUAGAUUCUGUUGGUCUCGAAUUAGUUGGAUUUGGAUUUCAGAACUGAUUUGAAUUGUUAACGAUUCAGGAUUCGAUUCGCGUUAGGGUUCAGAGUCUGUUUGCGCUCGAAAUUUCAACUCAGAGCAGUUUGAGUUAAAGUUAGAGCAGGCAUACGAUAUCAUAAAGCUGAGAAUGGAGGAAUGCUUACCGGUUGAAGCAACAACGAGAAAAAAAUGUAGCUUCCAAUCUUGCUCACAAGCUUCCAACAUGGUAAAGUUUUGUCAAAUGCAAAGUCUUGGACGCCCUCCAAAUGGGAAAAACGACUUCCUUCCAUUGGUUGCUUUUAGAGGACCUUCAGAAAAUCUUUAUGGAUUGAACUCAUUAGCAUCAUCACCCCAUAGCUUUGUGUCACGGUGAACUAAAAGUGCCGGCAAGAAAAAUUGCACUCCAGCAGGCAAUGUUAGGUCUCCAACUUUUACAUAUUUUUGAACUUCUCGAGGAAGUGCAACUAUUGGCGGGUAUAACAACCAAGUUGUUGUUUCUGCUGGAGUAUUUCGUGUUUCUACCGGCUUUAGUUUUUGGGUUUGUUUUGGUGGGGUGCAGAGCACACUUGUUCAUUUAUGUACAGAGUGAUCUGCCAUUUUGGUGUACAGAAAAACAAAACUACUUGCUGAUGCAAUUUUUUGUAGCAAAGAAAUGAAAUGAGAAUUAGAAUUGAAAAUUGAGGAAAAAUUAUGAGAUGGGGAGUUAAGUGACAUUGAGAAACUAUCCAAGCAAUUCUCUAACAAGUGGCGGCAACUUGAAAUCUUGAAGCGUUGAUUACAAAUACCGACUCUUCCUCCAUGUUUGCAUAACUACAUUGUUUAUUUAGCUAACUGAAGAGUAAAAUCAUCUAAUGACGAUUUUGCAUCUCUGCGUAGAUUGCUAUUUUGGUCUAUCUUGUUUGGAGGGAAGAAAUGGAUAAGAAAAAAGCAAGCCAAGAAGAAAAAUUGCUGAUUAAACAGUUGGACAGAAAUAGAAGAGAAGCUGAGAAAGCUGAGAAAGAGAAGGAGAAAGCUGAAGCUAAAGAGAAAGAAAAAGAAAGCAUGCAGUGUGAUAUAAAAACAGAAACAACUGCCAUUGUAUUAGAGUCUCAUCAAGAAAACAAAGUUGACGCGUCUGAAACUGCCAAGGCUGUGAUAUCUUGCUUCAAUAAGUUGGGGGUCUCUUUCGAUAUGGAUCAGAUACAAUUAAUCAGGGACCCUAAGCAUCAAGUUGAAAUGGUGGGAGUUCCAGAGUAGUAUUUAUCGGGUCAUGCCUUUCAGAUGUAUCAUUUGACAUCACCUAUGGUGGGAGUUCCAGAUGCUGUAUUAUUUCUUGCUAAAAAGAUUGAAGCAAAGGAUUCCAAGAGAAUCUACAAUAUGAUUGAUGUUUUGCGAGAGGGUAAUAUGCGAUAAAAAGUUCUAUGGAGUAUGAUGCAAGAUGUGGAAAUUUGGGAUUCUAAUAAAGCAAUUUUCAUCUUGUGUCCAAUUUUCGUAUCGAUUUAUUUGAGGAAAGCUUAGUUUGUACUAUUGUGGCUUAUCUAUAACAUGAUUUGAGUAAGAACAAUAUAAUAUAAAGACGUACGGUUACUAA